GUGCUUGCUUCAGCAACACAUAUACUAACAUUGGAACAGUACAGAGAAGAUUAGCAUGGCCUCUACGCAAAUUCGUGAAGCAAAUUCGUGACAUGCAAAUUCGU
rnacentral:snRNA from 1 species